AGAUUAUAAGGCCUGGCCCAGCAGUGCAGCCAAGGGUGGUGCUGGGAUGACCAGCUCUGGGCUCCUGAGGAGCUUGCCUGUGGCUCAGCCUGCAGGUGAGGAGGAGAGGCCAGAGCUUCCACUGGAGACCUGUGCCUAUGGCAGAUUGCCUGGGGGAUGGCACUUUCAAGCUUGUCCCCUGGCUGUGGGUCAGCCCUCCUGCCCACCUCCUCUGGUCCACAGGCCUACAGGAUGUACAACUCCUCCCUGCCAGGGGAUAGCUGUCCAGACCUCCAGCUGCCUUUUGCCAUGAAAAGGAGGGUUGUCUCCAGGAUUGAGAUGGCCAGUAAGGAUGGGGUCUCCAUCUCCUGUGACAUGCCCACCAGCCUCUGCAGCUGACUCUGCGGCUCUGGCACCACAGCAUAUCCGCUGGCCUUCUGGACACCAAUGACAAUGAAUCAGGCACUGAUCUAAUGUUGCUGGAUGGCUCUAUGGCCCACAGCCUGGAGGAGCUCAGCCUGGCCUGGCAGGUGGAUGGUGACUGCAGGGCCACUGAGAAGACUCAGCCGACCUGCCCAGGACAGAGCCCCACCUGCUGUGCCUUCUUCCAGGACCCCCCAUCCAGCUUGGGGAACUGCUUCCAGGUGGUGCAGAGUAUCUUCAAGGGAGACCACAUUUUUGCUCUCUGAAAGACUCAAUUAGGAGGAUGAAGAGAUAAGCUACAGAUUGGGAAAAAUGUUUACAAACCCCCAUCAGACCAAGAACGCAUCUCCAGAGACUCAUGUCUACAAUACAUAAAUAACUCAAAGCUCAAAAGUAGGCCACACUUGUAUUCCCAGCACUUUGUGAGGCUGAGGCGAGAUGGCUUGAACCCGGGAGGUCAAGGCUGCAGUGAGCCAUGACUACACUCCUGGCUGCAUGACAGAGUGAGAGCUUGUCUCACAAAACAAAACCUCCAAAGUAAAAAAUGGGAAAUAAACACAUCAAUAAUGUUUGCACUCCCAGCCAUAGAGAAACAAGGUAAUGCUACACACCUGAGCUCCAGUGAGUUCCGGCACAGGUUGGUGAGUUGCAGGGACUCUGCAGCAUAGAGCAUUAGUUGAACAUCCAAAUGGCCAGGUUGUGAUUUCAGCAUCCACUGAUGAGUGCACUAUAAAAAGCACUGUUCUAGUACCAAAAAGGUGGUGGCUGCUGAGAAUAAAGCUAGGCUUAGAGGCAGGAAUCGAGGUCACGGUCUACCAACCAGAUCCUCUCGGGAAACAGCAUUGGACUCAUGAAGUGCCAAGACAGGAGGUGGUGUGGCUCCACGGGAAGGUUGGAGAAUCUGGGAAUCAAGCAGAAGUGCUCAUUGUUCUGACCAUGUAAAAACAAAACUGUCAGCUACUACAGCCACCAACAGAACGUCUGGGACGACAGGCAUCUCAGACGAUUUAUAGUUACAGGGUAACAAUGGAGUAUUAUCUGCAGUUAAGGUCCUCUGUCUUCCUCUUAGGUUUUAUUUAUUUAUUUAUUGAGGUGAAGUCUUUCUCUUUCACCCAGGUUGAAGUGCAGUGGAGCAAUCUCAGCUCACUGCAACCUUCUCCUCCUGGGUUCCAGCAAUUCUCCUGCCUCAGCCUCCUGAGGAGCUGGGAUUACAGGCAUGUGUCACCAUGCCCCGCUAUUUUUUUUGUGUUUUUAGUAGAGACAGGGUUGCACCAUGUUGGCCAGGGUAGUCUCAAACAUCGGACCUCAUGAUCUGUCUGCCUCGGCCUCCUACAGUGCUGGGAUUACAGAUGUGAGCCACCGUGUCUGGCCGGGUUUAUUUAUUUUAAAUCAAGGGCUAAAUUCUUCCCCUCUCUUGAACACCAGUUAACAUUUGAAAGACAAAUUUAAAGGUGAUUGGAAGUUACAAAAUAAAUGCAUCUUAUGAACUCUCAUAAGAAAAAAGGAAUAUUAAGAUACUUUUUAUUACCUUUUUGAGACAGGAUCUUGCUCUGUCCUCCAGGCUGGAGUACAGUGUGCAGCCUCCCAAGUAGUUGGUAUUACAGGCAUCCACCACCAUGUUUUUGUAUUUUUAGUAGAGACGGGGUUUCACCAUGUUGGCCAGGCUGUCUCGAACUCCUGACUUCAUGUGAUCCUUCCACCUAGUGCCUGACCAGAAAGAUUAAGACAUUCUCAGAUAAACAAAAGCUGAGAUAGUUCGACCUCUCCUGCAAGAAAUGGUAAAGGGAGUCCUUCAAGUCAAAACAAAAAGAUGCUGGGUGGGUGUUUGAAGCCACAUAUAAAGACCUGUAUUAUUGGAAUUUUGAUUCACAUCUCUGAUUUUUAUUAUUUUAUUGGAUUGAAAAGAGAUGUGUAACCAUAAGCCUAUGUUAAAUAUGUAAUUUAUUUAAAAAAAUUACGCAUGGUGGCAUGCACCUAUAGUCUCAGCUAUGGAGGAUCACUUGAGUCCAGGGGCUUCAGGUUACAAUGAGCUAUAAUAGUGACACUGCACUCCAGCCUGGGUGACAGAGUGAGACCCUCUCUCUAAAAUAUAGAUAUACUUUGUAGCAUCAAGAACACAGGAUGGGGCACAGCUGUCCAGGAGUACAGUAUUUGCAUGCGAUUGAACUUACUAUUUUAUAAUCAAUUUUAAACUUAACUUCAGGAUGUUUUAUAUAAUCCUCAGGGUAAUUACAAAGAAAAUGUCUACAGGAUGUACACACAAAAGGAAGUGAGAAGGCAUUAUAAGUGUGUCACACCAAAAAAUCAAUUAACAUAAAGGAAGGCAGAAGGAAGGAAAUGAGAGAGAAAACAAACCAAUAAGCCACGCAGAAAACAAUCCACAAAGUGGCUCUGCGAGGCCCCGUAAAUGGUGUGCUGGAGUCCUCCCAGAGGAACUGCUCACCUUAGUCCCUGGCUGUGGGCCUCAUGGCACAGUCACCCACCAGGCUAUUGAGUUUCAUCAGAUGAUGAUAAUCUUUAAAAAUGCAAAUUAUUUCCACAAUCUAAAGAUAGUAAGAGACUUACAUGUAGGAUGAGAAAAGAUACUCCAUGGAAAUGGUAACUGAAAAAAGGAAGAGAAGCUAGAUUAAUCUCAGACUAAAUAGACUUAAGGUCAAAAGCUGUUGUAAGAGAUAACAAUCCAUUCACCAAAAAGAUGCAACAGUUAUAAAGAUACAUGCAAUGCACCUCAGAGCUUUAAAUAUAUGACACAAACACUGACGGAAUGAAAGGAGAAACAAACAGUUCUGUGAAAACUGUAGGAAAUUUCUACCCCUCACUUUUUUUUUUUCCAGACAGAAUCUUUGUUUCCCAGGCUGGAGUGCAGCUGCAACCUUCUGAAUUCAAAGUACGUGUGGAAUGUUCUAUGGGAAAGAUCAUCUAUUAGGCCUGAAAUCAAGAUUUAAUACAUUUUAAAUGACUGAAAUCAUAAUAGCAGAAGGAAAACUGGAAUAUUCACAAAUCUAUGGAAACUCAAUAACAUACCACAAAACUAUGGGUCAAAGAAAAAUAGUAAGGAAAAUUAUAAAGUAUUUUGAGACAAAACGUAUCAAAUCUUAUAGGAUGCAGCAAAAGCAGUGCUAUGAGGAAAAUCUAUAGCUGUACACGCUUACAUUUUUAAAAAGCUGGCUGGAGAUGGUGGCUCACAUCCGAAAUCCCAGCACUUUGGGAGGUUGAGAUAGGCAGAUAACCUGAUGUCAGGAGUUUAAGACCAGCCUGGCUAACAUGGGGAAACACCAUCUCUACUAAAAACAUAAAAUUAGCCAGGCAUGGUGGCAAGUACCUGUAGUCUCAGGAGAAUCAUUUGAACCCAUGAGGAGGUGGUUGCAGUGAGCCAAGAUUAUACCACUACACUCCAGCCUGGGAGACACAGCUAGACUCCACGUCCCCCCACCCCCCCCCCCCCAAAAAAAAAAGCUGCAGCCAGGCAUAGUGACACUUCUAUAAUCCCACCUACUUGGAAGGCUGAGGCCAGGAGAUUGCUUGAACCCAGGAGUUUGAGACUAACUCAGCAAGCAGCAAGACCCUCUCUCAAAUAAAAGAAAAAGGAAAAGCUCUCAAACCACAAUCUUAACUUUGUACCUUAAAUUAUUAGAGAAGAACAGCCUAAACCCAAAGCUAGGAGAAGGAAGGAAAUACUAAAGGUUAGAACAGAAAUAAAAAAAAAAUCAGUGACCAAAAACUUGACGGGAAAGUACAAGAACAGAUGGCUUCAUGGGUGACUUGUACCAAACAGUUACAGAAUCAAUACCAAUCCUGCUCAUCUUGUUCCAAAAUACUGAGGAAAGAAUACCUCUAAACUCAUUCUGUGAGGCCAGCAUUACUGAUACCAAAGACAGACAAAGCAGCAGAAGAAAACACACCACUAUUCCUGAUCAAUACAGCUGCAAGAGUGCUCAAGAAAAACUAAUGAGAAUUCAACAGCAUCAGAAAAGGAUUAUACAACAUGGUCAAGUAAGAUUUAUUCCUGGAAUGCAGAGGUGGUUACCAUAUAAACAUUAGGGUAAGAUACCACAUUCACAGAAUGAAGGAAAGAAAACACAUAAUUUGUUUCAAUUAGUACAGAAAAAGCAUUUAAUGAAGUUUAAUAUUCUUUCAUGACUAAAAACAUACUAGAAAUCAAAACAACCUCAACGUAAUAAAGGUCAUAUGAACAACCUCCAGCUAGUAUCAAUCUCAAUGGUGAGAGACAAAAUUUUCCAAGAUGUGUAAUAAAACAAUGAUGCCUGCUUUCAUAAUACUGGGAAUCCUAGCCAGAGCUAUUAAGGAAGGAAGGAAAAAGAAAAGGCAUCAAAAUUGGAAAGGAAGAAGUAAAAUUUUCUGUUAACAAACGACAUGAUCUUCUUCGUAGAAAAUCCUAAAGACUGCACAAAAUAAACUGUUAGAACUAAUAAUUUGUCCAAGUUUCAAGAUUAUGAAAUCAACAUACAGAAGUCAGUUGCAUUUCUACACACUAACAGUCGACAAUCCAAGAAGGAAAUUAAGAAAACAGUUCCUGCUGGCUUGGUUGUGGAUGCCUAUAGUCCCAGCUACUGGGAGGCUGAGUUUGAGAUUUCAUCUAAGCUAGCACUAGGCUGCCAAAGUCUUCAAACUCCUUCACCUUCUACUCUAAUUGCAGCUCCUUGACAAGGGCAAGACUCUUGGCUGGGACAGAAUAACCAGCAUGGAAUGCUGGGAAACUCAGAACCACACGUGCUUCAAAUGCAGAGAAGAUGAGCUGUUUGCCAUUGCACUCAAAAUACUUGUGAGGACGUGAAACUCUCCCACUGGUCUGGUUAAUUCUCCCCCUUCCUCCACACCUCCACUGUAAACCAAGAAACAGCAUGGCCAGCGAGUCCCAGCCCUGCAGAGAGAGCUCUACCAGCUCCUAUUCAUGCCCAAGGUAUUUAUUAGCUUAUUCAACAGCCAUGUGGAAAGCCACCGCUUCAGAACACUGACUGUGCACAGGGGGACAUGAAGUCAGGUUCUCAGCUGCCCAGUACUGGCUUUUCCUGCCUGAUCCAGGGAUCUCCUCAAGCAGGAGCUUCUUUGAGGGGAAAUGAUAGCUCUUCAGAAGCCCGACAGAGCUGCUCUCUUGGGUAGACACACGGGGACUGAAGGCUUUUGAAGACCUCUGUUUUGGUAGGGGGAUCUGUGAACUCAGGCUCUCAGGCUAGAGCAUUCAAAGUUUUUUUGUUUUUUUUUUUUUAACUUUCUUUUGGAAAAUAACCUUUUCCUUUGAGUUUUCAACUGAAGAAUAAACCUAGCAGAAUCCAAGAAUGUGUCUCUGGAUUUCCGGGGCUGAUCAUCAACUCAGGAGAUGGGGAGAUGUGGGCAGCUUUGCAAUCUUCUCACUGAUAGAGGGAGUCCUCUUUGGGCUGAGCAUUUGGUAGUAGAUUGUAGAGUCCAGAUUCCAGAGCAAAGGGCCAGGUGUCAGCCACAGGGACUGAGGCAAGCUGAAGGCCAGAUGCCAGACUUCACUGUCCCUGUCCUCCUCACCCAUGAAUUCCUGGUGCACAGCAGGUGCUAGAUGAAGUUCAGAAGAAACAAUUCCAAGAUAAAUGAAAAUGAGAAGGUUGGUCCUCCACAUUCCCACACUGGAGGGAAGAGAAGUGAGGGUGGCUGGGAUCUGAGUGUUUGCUAUGGUUACAGCCUAAAGACCUCAAGCCCAGGCACUGCUCCAAGUGCCUUGAAAGAUAUUUGAUCUUAAGCCUUACAAUAGUCCAAUGAGGAAUGGAUGAUCUCCUUAAUGGGGGGGGGGGGGAAAAACCUCAGAGAGUUGAGGGGAUUCCCCCAAGGUCAUAUGACCUACAAAUGGCCAGGAUGGUGCUGAUGCAGGUCUGUCUGUCUCCCAAUGCUGCCCAAGCUCCAUCACCCCCCACCACUUCUGCUUUUGCAAUAAUAGCCAUAUGCCACAUAUUCUACCAGUUACAUUAUGGAAGUCAAGUAAACUUUAGCCAUAGCCCAAGCCAUAACAGGUAGCACCUGUUCAAAAUACCCUGUAAGUCAGGUCAUGCAAGAUCAGAUAUGCACCCACAACUGUUACAGGUGCUGUGCUAGCCACUGUUUGGGGGAACUCAGCCUAGGAAUAUGAGCGAAGAGAUAACUCACAAAGAAAAGCAAGUCACUGGCAUGCAGGGGGCCCUGAGCAAUUCAGAGUCAGAGGCAACUAGAGUGUGCAGCCACCUGACCUGCUGGUUUCCCAAUAUGCUUAAUGAAUCCAUGAUGUCAGGUCCACAAAGGAAAUGCAGAAGCCUUCCCUUCCUGCCUCCCAUACUCUGUGGGUCGACUGUUUACCAAACACACGGCAGUGGACUGGACACCAGCAGAGAUACACAGAGGGAAAAACAGUCCUCUCUUUUCAAGGCAGGUUGGACAACAUCAAUAUUUUGCAGGUAGGAUGUGCAGGUGGAAUGUGUUCAUGCCCAGAAUUUAAAGACAAACAGAUGGGAGAGGGAAUGAUUCUGGCAGAAAGGCCAGUAAAUAUUCACAUCUACAGUAUACACUGAACAUAGACAACAUAGCAAGGCUCUGUCUCUACAAAGAUUUAAAAAUUAAGCCAGGUGUGGUGGCACAUGCCUGUAACAUCAGCUACCCAGGAGGCUGAGGCAGAAGGAUCACUUUAGCCCAAGAGUUUAAAAUUACAAUAAAGUGUAAUCACAUCACUGCAUUCCAGCCUGGGCAACAGAGAAAAGCCAUGUCUCUAAAACAAAACAAGAUGAGACAUUUACAUAAA